rnacentral:rRNA from 1 species
CCAAAUAUCUAAACGGAGAAAUUCAAUAUUGCCCUCAACCAGCAAUGUGCACUUUUCUCUUAGUAGGACGCCGUGAUCCAUUAGAAAUUGGUGCACGCCAAGUGCACAGUGGGUCAUCAAUAGGCCGGCGCGAAGUUCAGCGGAACAAAUGGCGAGAUCUUUAACGGUCGCGUGUAUUGCCUGUUGAGCGCGUCGAUACCUGCAAUGACUGUCUGAUGGAUUUUAGAGGCCGUAUCAACGAUGUCAAGGCAUCGGCGCUUGUCGCAGCCCGAUAUGUGUCCGAUCAACGGCGGUUAAAUUUGGGAUACCUUUUGGACCCGUCUUGAAACACGGACCAAGGAGUCUAUCUAGUAUGCGAGUAAAUGGAUAGUUAAUGAAAUCUAUUUGCGCAAUAAACGUGACUGUUUCAUGGGAUUACAACUUGAGCGCCAGCGAUGGUCUCUCGUUUUCCAUCCCGGGGUAUUUUCGUCAACAUAUAGGCGCAAGUUUAUAUGGGAAAUAUACCAUGAGCACACUGGAUACGACCCGAAAGAUGGUGAACUAUGCCUGAUCAGGUCGAAGUCAGGGGAAACCCUGAUGGAGGACCGAAGCAGUUCUGACGUGCAAAUCGAUUGUCAGAAUGGGCAUA